rnacentral:rRNA from 1 species
AUGGGCUGCGCCAUGACCGGCCCACUUAGGUUUGCCCAGCAGCGUAGGAACGAGGUCUCGUCCUCGUCUCGCUCCACCAAGGCGACGAUCCAUUCCCUGACGCAUCUGUGCACAAGCGCGCCGCCGCUGCCGGGAGCUGCCUCCACCUCCAUCGCCCGUCGCCUCAGCUCUUCCCCCGUCCGCAAGCAAGGUAUCUUCCCCGGCCAACUCUCCUCGGUCUUCCCCCGUCCUCAAUUGCUUGCUGCCGCUGCUAUUGCUGCCUCCCANNNNNNNNNNNNNNNNNNNNNNNCCCCCCGCCCCGCGUUCCACCACCACCAUAUUUUUGAUCUCAUCUCAGUAAAUGUCCAAAAUACCAUUUCUGUUCGGUUAACCCCCCUCACCAAAAGUAUUAACAUAGCAGAACAUAGGUUAGCGGAGCCCUUUUGGACAUUUAUAGGUUGUCUCUCUAGCUUAGUAAAAUUAGAGCAACGUAUUGUAAAAACUACUCCAUCCAUUCCUAAAUAUAAGACCUUUUAG